rnacentral:lncRNA from 1 species
GGCACGAGGCGCUCACGCGCCGCGAGCUCCCUCCCGGCGCCUGCGCUGCGCGCUUCCCCCGGCAGCGGCGGUCUCCCGGCUGAGCAGGGGCCUCCUUCCUUGGGGGCUAAUUUAAAAGGCAGCCUCUUUCCCUCCCGAUGGGCUCUUCUGUCACGCUCCGCACUUUUAAAGUCCCCUCCGAGCACACUGGUCCGCCGUCCCGUGCGACCGUUGUUUUUCCACACGCGGCCAACGGCCCUGCGGGGAAAUAACGGCGCCCGCAGGCGGCAACCGACACUGGCUGCCCCUCACCGCCGUCCCGCACCGGGGGCAGCAGGGCAGGAAACCCCCCCGCCCCCCUGCGCUCCGCUCCGGCCCCUCCUGCGGUGCCCGGCGGUGCCCGCCCCCCCGCCGCGCCGGGGCGCGGCUGGCGGUGGGCCAGCGCCGCUGAGGGUAUUAAUAGGCGGCCUUGAGCAAGCGGCGCCUCGCGGGCAGGGCUGGGCGGUUGUGGGCGAAAGCUCAGGCUCCGCGCGGUGCCCGCUCCAGCGCAGGACGAGCUCGGCGCGGGAGCGGCCGCGGCGGGGAGGUGCUUCGCUUCGCUUCGCUUCCCUUCCCUUCCCUUCCCUUCCCCUCUGCUCCGGUCUGCACCGGGCGCCGUCUGCGAGCGGCGGCGGCGGCGGCGGCGGCGGCUCCCACUGCGAAGGCGAGAUGGAGGGUAACCGCUGCGGGCACAGCCGCCUGCUCGCUCUCUCCUCCUCGUUUGAGCGCCGGGAGGGGUGGGCACCCGGGCGACCACCGCGCCGCGGGCUCCCGCGGAGGGAGGCAGGGAGGGAGGAGGCGGUGUCUCGCCCGCUCCGUGCCCCGGCAGGGCCCCUCGCCUCUCCCCCCGCCGCCUCGGGGCUUGCGCUGGCCCUGCGGCCUGGCCCCAGCCACGGGCGCCUGCCGCGGCGCCGGGAGCAGCGGCGGCCUCGCGGCGGGGAAGGGAGGCCGGGCCGGCUCGCCGCUGCGGGCCGAGAAGGUGCGGGCUGCCUUCCCGAAGGGUCAGCGGCUCCCGCAGCAACGUACGGAGAUGAGCGGACAGGCUGCCUGUUGAAUCUCUUGCCCUAUAUCCUUAUAUAUCCUCCUUUCGUUGAAGUGCAGCAGUGUUGUAUCCAGAAUGCUUUAAUACGGUAUAGCACUUGCAACAGUUACUGUAAAAAAGCAUUGUGGUACAGUAUUUUUGUUGAAAUAAAUGAUCAUUUAUUGAGUGGUGCCUUUUUUUUCUUUUUUCCCCCUCAGGCACCAGAAUAA